CACCACCACCACUACCCCACUACCUUUUCCUUCAUUGCAGUGCACUAUAUUUCUCACACCCUUUGUGCUCCCUAUCCCUGUCCCUGCAGUACUCAGUUGCCUCCCAAGGGGGCGCACCUCACACUUUGAGAACAACUGUUUAAAAAAAGAACCCUGUUAAACCAUGCUGAACAAGAAAGCAGGACUAGGUGAUGAUGGAGGCAACCAGACUUAAUCAUUUUAUAAUUACGACACAGUAUGGUUACUGUACAUCUGUCAAAGUCAUCACAUUAACAUAACAUAACUACACGCCUGGUUAAGGGUCAUCAGUUUUGAAGUCCAUGACAUCCAUGUUAUAGCUGAGGUCCAGUGAACCUCAAUCUAAUAACAGAGUAGGAGUUAGAUGUCAUUUCACAUCCAAAACAGGUGGAUACACUGAGCACAGGUACAGGUACAGGUACACUCUUCCAGCAGCCACAGGCAGGAAAAUAAGAGGAAAACAGGCCUGGCUAUUAUGAAUAUGGAAUAAUUUAACACUACAGAGAGAGAGAGAGAGAGAGAGAGAGAGAGAGAGAGAGAGAGAGAGAGAGAGAGAGAGAGAGAGAUUUACCUAACCCUUUUCCUGAUGGCUAUGACACUAUAUUUACAUUUACUCAGUUGACACGCGCUUUUAUCCAAAGCAGGUAACAGUUAAACAGGGAUUUGAAUUCACACACACGCACAAGGGAUUAAACCCUUCAAGCCUGUGUGUGUGUGUGGUGUGUAUGUGUGUGUGUGUGUGUGGUGUGUAUAUGAGUGUGUGUGUGGUGUGUAUAUGGAUGUGUGUGUGUGUGUGUGUGUGUGUGUGUGUGUGUGUGUGUGUGUGUGGUGUGCAUAUGUGUGCGUGUGUGGUGUGUAUAGGAGUGUGUGUAUAGGAGUGUGUGUGUGUGUGUGUGUGUGUGUAUAGGAGAGUGUGUGUGUGUGUGUGUGUGUAUAGGAGUGUGUGUGUGUGUGUGUGUGUGUGUGUAUAGGAGUGUGUGUGUGUGUGUGUGUGUGUGUGUAUAGGAGUGUGUGUGUGUGUGUGUGUGUGUGUAUGUAUAGGAGUGUGUGUGUUCUCAGACUCCAGCUGUAGUGACGCUGGGAUGUUCUGACCCACUCACCUGGAUGUUGUGGUAGAGAAGAGAAGAUGCUGUGAAGUCCAGGGCCUGCCCGACAGCGCGGUGCUCGCGCGCUCCUCGUCUGCUGAGUAAAUCCGCACACUACACUCCCCGCCGCGCUUCCGGUCCUCUGAAUCCACACACACGUUCAUGGUUCAUGAUUUGCGUUUGUGUGCAGUCGGUUCAUCUGUAGUUCCUCAGCAGUGUGUGCACUGGACUGUUCCACUGACGGGCUUUAUAGCGUCGCUGUGUGUUACUAGAACCGGUCUGAUUCCGCCUCCGAAACCAGCACGAGCGCACCUGUCCUUUCCUCUGAUUGGUGGAGCGCCAGGAUCGGUCACGUGGUCUCCAGACAGGUAGGCCCGAUUUAGCUCGGCGCAGGAGCGGUGGUUGCCUUAGCAACGCGCUGCGAAUCUCUUUCCUUCUUUCAGUUCGGCUUUGUAUUGUAGUGUUUUUUUGCGAGGUGGGGAGCAUUCUUGAGGUUUCUGAACGAGCCCAACCCUUUACUACAAUGUCGCUGUUACUGCAGGAGUUUAGAGAAGCACAAGCAGCACACCUCUUUGACGUAGCUUAGGGGUUUUUUAAUUUAUUAUUAGGAGCUCGUGAAGCCAGUGCAUGCUGAUGGUGAG
ensembl:lncRNA